rnacentral:pre_miRNA from 1 species
AGCCUUCUUUAUCCGUGCUGAGAUUUCGUCACACACCAGACCACAAGAACAGAUGGGAUUCCCAAGAUAAAUGAAGGG